AAGUCGUAACAAGGUCUCCGUAGGUGAACCUGCGGAGGGAUCAUUAGAAAUGCUUGUUUUUUUCAUUUGGUGGACGUGUUCUUUGAAUGCGCUCACCGGAUGGAAACAUCAUUUCCUGGCUUUUGUCCUCCCUCGUCCAGCCUCACGGCCGGGCUUGGGUGGCAAUUGCCGGAUAAUCGGGAAGAGGCCUUGUGCUUCGACCCACUAUCUACACCUUUUUAGUCUGAACCUCUUCAGCGAAAGCGAGAGCAAUCUUACUUUCAAUGAUAAAAAUUAAAAUUAAAACAACUUUCAACAAUGGAUCCCUCGAUUCUCC
rnacentral:misc_RNA from 1 species